GUGGGCUCUCAUGAGAGCAGAGGGAGAGAAUCCCCUCCCUCACCCUGCUGGCCACGCUGCUUCUGAUGUAGCCCAGGACACGGUUGGCUUUUUGGGCCGCGAGCACACACUGCCAGCUCACGUUGAGCUCCUCACCAACCAACACGCCCAGGUCCUCCUCAGGGCUGCUCUCAAUCCAUUCUCCGCCCAGCCUGUAUUUGUGCUUGGGAUCGCUCUAAUCCAGGUGUAGGACCUUAGCCUUGCUGAAUUUCAUGAGGUUCACUUUUUUUUUCAUAAAAAACUUUCAAACUGACAGUGUUUGGGAGACAAUAAUUAUCUUGCUGCUUCUCACUAGCCCCCUUUCUUUAUUGUCUCCUUUCUACUGACAUCCAUCUUGUAUCAGAGAAACAGCAUCCCACAGAUUCUGUCUUCCAGUCCAUUUCUGAAGUCUCUCACUUUUUAACAUGGGGUUUCCCCCCAAAUUUCAAAGCUUUUAUUUCCUCACCUUGUUGCUUUGUAAUGAAGGGGAAAAUAAGUUAACUCUCUAUACAAAAAGAGAAAGCAUCCAGCAGCAAAAUUACAUCAACUUAAAGUAUUCUUCUCAGAUCCAUCUCAGUUUUAUCUACCUCUGAAUAUCCAGCCAUUCCCCUUAACAGAAAAUAAAUUAAAAAAAAAAAGUGUUGCAUUUCAGAGGUACCAUCCCAUGAAGCAUAAAUUAGGGAUAAGGACCCUGAAAGAAGCCCAGUACAAACCACUGACAUUCAUGCACAUCCAGCAUCUAAUCAAGCUGCAAGAGCCAUCCUAGCACAGCCUCCGUGGGGGCGGUUAUCGUGGGAGAUGUCACACAGAGAGAACAGGCUGAUAAAAGCCAUUUACAUGCAUGCUACAGCCUACUGCAAGGAGCUACUAUCUCUAAGCUCUGAUGUGGGGGAGGAAAACAAGCAGCCUCUGCCAGCACCGAGUACUGACAACAAACAUGCCAUCCAUGCAGGCAGAAAAACAGAGGUGGGGCCGAUCGGAGACAGGGCAAUAAUAUUCCUUGCCACAGUAAACACAGAGCAAUACAUAACGUAUUAAAAAGAGAUACUAUGCUACAUUGCACACAUUUUUCCGCUUGUAAAGGGCAAGAAGGAAAACUGACCCACAUGAUGUGAAAUUAGUCAUAGUGCUUUCUGCUCAUACUGUAUGUGCUGACCUGAUGUCACCAGCGUGCUAGAUCCUCUAUGGAACCUGAACAAGGCUAUUCGUCCCUACCACAGAAACAAAAGAAGAAAAAUCAGAGCAAGCAGACUGCAAAUCCAGCAGACAAAACGAAGAACAGAAGAAUAAGAGUUCCCUACUCCUGCAGCCACCAGUUCAGUUCCCACAGUGCAAAGCCCCAACAACUGCAGAUUUGCUCGAGUUGCAGCUGCGUGUGGACAGCACAAUUUACAAGCCCUCCAGCCCUGAGAGCAUAAAUCCCACCAACUCUGCUCCGCUCCCCAGUUACCAGCACAGAAAGACCUUUGCAGCGUAACAUACAUUUUUAAUUCAACUCAGUUCCCAAAAAGCUUCAGAAAAAUCACAGAGCGCAUGGUACUGCUACAUGGGAUUUAGCAAGAAAGCGUGGCUCUUACUGAGACAGAAUUAACUUCUAAGUAAAGUAUAAAGUUAUAUGCUUUCUUGGUAGCUGGUUAAGGUAAACAGACUUAGGUAUUUUGUAAAAACAGUUAUGUUAAGACAGUAACAACUUAUAACUUACCUAUGCCAAGAUUUUUCUCAUACGAAUCAAGUGCCCCAAUUUAAAUACACACACACACAUAUAUGGAAGAUACAGCUUUCAAAUGGGGUAUGCCUCAGGCUGAAUAUUUAAAGAGAGACUUGUUUCCAAAUCAUCUUUUAUAAAAGAAAAAACUCUUCCCACCCACUUCAGAGGCAGUAGCUCUCCAUGCAUAGAAACACAAUUUUUCCUUCCUGAAUAAAGAAAAGGCUCCCAUCCACUUCUUCUAGUUCCCCUAAGAAUUCAUCUCUGGCUCUUGAUCUCUCUCAUCUUUGCUUCUUCUUUUCCCUUCUAAAGCUAAUUUGCAUUUAUGCCAGAAAAACACACACCAUAAGGCUUGUAAAAGGUGUCACGGACUGAACAAAUUUCUUCCUAGAGUUGAAGUGCACUGCUUUUCAUGGAAAUCUGAAAGGGGACAUUUUGUGAAGGCUUAUUUCCACUUUCAUCUCACCCAGUCCUUGCCAAGGGAAGAAAGCAUAUUGUGUGGCUGCAGUGCUCUGAAACGUUAUUACCAAAACUGGAAAAAUACAUGUGCAAGUGGACAUGAGAGCUUAGAUUCUCAGAGACCACAGGAAAAUUCAAGUUGGAAGGGGUCUUGAGAGGUCUGUAGUCCAACUUCUUGCUCAAAGCAGGGUCAGCUCAGGCUCAUCAGGGUUUUAUCCAGUCUGGUUUUUGGAAGCCUCAGUGCACAGAUAGAGACUGCACAACUGCUAGUGAGAAGAGAAGGCUAAAGCAGCUUGCUUCUUUUCUUCCAAUUCAUGAACUAGUUCCCCAAAUAGCAGCAUUGCUCCAGCUCAGUAGGAAGGACAUACCAAUCCACUCAUGGGUUCUUAUUUUCCUUUUAACACAGACUUCCAUGCAUUUGGAUGAGUUAACACAGCUGGGAAACAGAGUGUUUACUGGUGGAAGAAUUCAGGGUCAGCAACAGCACACUACUUUAAACCCUCUUUGCCAAGCGUUAGCCUGUGGCUGCUAAAGCCCUGCAGCCCAGCUGCAGGGGCAAUUUAAUGUCAGAAUUAAAGAAACACCACAGUGCACAGAGCACGAAGCCUACCUGUUGUUACACCUGUGUCAAACACAGCUACAGGAACUCAAAGCAAAAAAGAGCUUUGGGUGGAAGUUACAGCCCUGCCAACAGCACCAGUCCCAGCCUCCAAGGCAAGGACCUGCGUUCAUAUGCCCUGCAGACAGGCUACCCAGGCCAGAAGGCAGCGUGCCGCCAAGCUGAGGACAUGCGAAGAUUUUCAACAGGACCACAAAUAAUUUGUCUUGAGGUAAGGUGGUGGACAAGCACACCACAGGAGCCGGCUGCGUGCAGGUACUCAGCCCGCUGCAGGCUGCUGGCUUGACAUCGCAGCAGUCUGGAUUGGCUUGACAUAGGGCAAGACCCAGUGCUGCGUAUUAUUUCUACCACAGUUCACAGCAGCUUAAAUAAUUCACAUCAUGGGUCUUGACACUCCUCCCCUCAGCAAUUAAGUUACAAGUGUUCAAUGGCAUUUACUUGAAAUGCAAACAGAGGAAGCGGGGCAAGAAAGGCCUGGAAACCCUAGGUUUCAAACACACCAUUUAUAUUGUGCCUAGUGCAAGAGGAAAGGGAAGAGAGAACUUUUGGUCUGCAAGAAAGCAGUGCAAACUUCUUGCGUCAUUACUUCCAAUUACUGCUACACAGCCCUUCACUCACUGCAGUCCAUCAUAAUCCUGGGGUAUCCUUUGUCUAAAAAUCUCAAAGCUCUAGCUGACAGUUAAAACGAGGAAAAACUUCUUGACUGGGUUGCCUGUGAAGCCAGAAGGUGGCAAGCACAUCUGAGAUGCCACCUCAGUCACCUGCCCCUGAUCAGUUCCACGUAGGCUGUGCACACCCCGCUGCAUUAAUCCAAGGUUGCUAACUUUGCUGAUAUAUCAAAAGGUGCUGCCCGGCUACUGGUUGUUCUUCACAGCAGAUCUUUGAACCUGGACUUCAACCUACAACAAGGCAGUCUCCAGCCUUUUUGAUCACACACUGCUAACAGCAAGAAUUUUAUUGAGCAUGCAUCCCCAACAUACAUAUUUUUAAAUUAUCUACACGCUGCUGUACAUAGUACAUUAUAUAACACACAAAAAUACAAACCAGAAGAAUGAAAAAGAAAAGUUAAAAAUAUUGCUUGAUUUCAUGAACUGUACAAAACUUUGUUCUCACUAUAGAGAAAUGUUAAUUUUUAGGAAGAACAAUGUGCUUGGUUAUGGUUAUUUUUGAAAAAAAUCUUGAUUUAAUGCAGAUACAUAGACUGGAAGGUCUGGUUCUAAGGUAAGUUUAUUUUAAUACUUGGUUUUAAUGACUAUCAUUGCUAACAAAGAUAUGUAGAUCCAAAGAAAAGGGAAUCAUUAGCUGCACCUACCCAAAUUUUUAUUUUAUUUUUUAAUUCACUAGUAUAUUUACAUCUUCUCUGGUGUCAGUCAGUUGUUCUUACAAACAAAGUUAUUAACAAAUGGGUUCCAAACCGAAUGAAACUCUUAUUUACACAAAUUAUAAACAGGUAAGAAAACUGUAUACACGUAAGAGUUGGUAGGUGACAUUUUAAGUA